rnacentral:rRNA from 1 species
AUGGCAUUCUUGACAAAUCUCAUACUACUGCCACUUCUCUUGCUCGCCACCUUCUCUCCUACACCUUCACUGUGCUAUGUUAGUCCAUAUGCUGCAAGGGUACAGCAGAGUGCUACACAAACAUCUGCUUACCACACUUACAUUGUGCUCGUUGAGCCACCUCCCCCAGGUGCCGAUGAAGAGGGCCAUCAUCGGUGGUACGAAACUUUCUUGCCGAGCUCACACAUCGGUGAAUCCGGGGAGCCACGUCUCCUCCACUCCUACACCGAGGUGUUUAGUGGCUUCACGGCGAAGCUCACAGAGGCUGAGCUCGACGCGGUCGCCAAGAAUCCCAGGUUUGUGCGCGCGUUCCCAGACCGAACGCUGCAACUCAUGACCACACACACACCGGAGUUCCUCGGGCUGAAGAAUGGCACCGGGUUUUGGAGCGAUGCAUGCUAUGGGAAGGGAGUGAUUAUCGGGCUACUCGACACCGGGAUCUAUGCAUCACACCCUUCGUUCGACGAUCAUGGUGUCCCACCACCCCCGAUGAAGUGGAAGGGCUCAUGCAAGGCGGUCAGGUGCAACAACAAGCUCAUCGGUACCAAAUCACUUGUUGGAGAUGAUGGCUCGUACGAUUAUGACGGGCACGGAACACACACCUCAUCCACUGCCGCUGGGAACUUCAUCACCGGUGCGUCGGACCAUGGAGUGGGCACAGGCACUGCUUCUGGAAUUGCUCCAGGUGCCCACAUCGCGAUAUACAAGGUGUGCACCAAUAGGGGCUGCAAAGUAUCCGUCAUAAUGGCCGGCAUGGAUGCGGCCAUCAAGGAUGGGGUGGACGUGCUCUCGCUGUCUCUCGGUAGCAGAACCAGUGUCAGCUUCAGAAAUGACCCCAUCGCCAUCGGUGCAUUCAGCGCAAUAUCGAAGGGCAUCAUUGUGGUGUGUGCGGCUGGCAACGGAGGUCCCACUCCACGAUCGAUCACAAACGAUGCACCGUGGUUGCUCACGGUUGCUGCCGGCUCGGUGGACCGGAGAUUCGACGCUGGCGUGCAUCUCGGCAACGGCAAGCGCAUCGACGGGGAAGCACUUACCAAGGUGACAAAGCCAACCUCAAAGCCGUACCCUCUCCUCUACUCCGAGGAACAUCGUUUCUGCCAGAAUGAGGAUCAUGGUUUCGUUGCUGGGAAAGUAAUUGUUUGCCAGGCCACGACACCAGCGAAUCAGUAUUCCGACAUUGCGAGGCUAAUGGCUGCCGGUGCGGCUGGCGUGGUGCUUUUCAAUAAUGAAGCCGCCGGCUACACCAUUGCUCUUCAUGACUACAAGGCGGGGGUGGUGCAGCUGACCUCUACCGAUGGCAUCACCAUUGCAGCUUACGCGAAGUCAGCAACGAACGGCGCCGUGGCAACUUUCACAUACAACAACACAGUGUUGGGUGUUCGUCCGAGCCCGGUCGUGGCGUCGUUCUCUUCGAGGGGUCCAGGCUAUAUCGCCCCCGGCGUGCUCAAGCCAGACAUUCUUGCACCCGGGCUCAACAUCCUUGCGGCAUGGCCAGGACCUUCUUUCAAAAUCAUAUCAGGUACGUCCAUGGCAACGCCACAUGUCAGCGGUGUUGCAGCUCUUAUCAAAAGCUUGCAUCCCGACUGGUCACCGGCUGCCAUCAAGUCGGCCAUCUUGACAACCUCGGACACCACGAACAACAUGGGCGACUCGAUCUUGAAUGAGAGGCAUGGUAAAGCCAGUGCCUACGAUAGAGGCGCCGGCCAUGUGAACCCCGCGAGAGCCGCCGACCCUGGUCUAGUGUACGACCUCAGCACGACUGACUAUGCGGGCUUCAUCUGCUGGCUCUUCGGCGACAAAGGCUUGGUGACCAUCGUACGCAACUCGAGCUUGACCUGCGCGAAGCUGCCCAAGGUCAAGGACGUUCAGCUCAACUACCCUACUCUAACUGUGCCGCUAGCAUCAACGCCGUUCACCGUGACCCGGACGGUGACGAACGUCGGGCCGGCAGAUUCUACUUACGCCGCCAAGGUAGACUCGCCAAGCUCUAUGACAGUGCGUGUCUCCCCAGAGACACUGGUGUUCUCCAAGGUUGGAGAGAAGAAGACAUUCAACGUGACAGUGAGCUGCCAACGCGUGGGUGCAUCAGAAAUCUUUGUGGAGGGAAGCUUGAGCUGGGUGUCGAAGAAGCAUGUUGUGCGUAGUCCCAUUGUCGCCAUCCGCGGAGUGGGAGGUCAUGCUCCCGCUCCAUCACCAUGA